rnacentral:rRNA from 1 species
AAAACUCUAAGCGGUGGAUCACUCGGCUCAUGGGUCGAUGAAGAACGCAGCAAACUGUGCGUCAUCGUGUGAACUGCAGGACACAUGAACAUCGACAUUUUGAACGCAUAUCGCAGUCCAUGCUGUUAUGUACUUUAAUUAAUUUUAUAGUGCUGCUUGGACUACAUAUGGUUGAGGGUUGUAAGACUAUGCUAAUUAAGUUGCUUAUAAAUUUUUAUAAGCAUAUGGUAUAUUAUUGGAUAAAUAUAAUAAUUUUUAUUCAUAAUAUUAAAAAAUAAAUGAAAAACAUUAUCUCACAUUUGAAUGUGAAAAACGAAGAGAAAUAUUUUCUUUUUCAAUCAAAUAAUACUGAGAAAUGUCUAGCAUAAAAAAUUGAAAUAUUUUUCAUCUAGAAUUGUCUCUUAUUAAUGAUUCGGAAAUAGAAAAAUCUUGGUUAUGUUAUUAUUCUUCGUUGGUUCGUUAAAAAUGGAUAAAUAAAAACUUUGCAUACAAGAAUUAAUAAAAAUGUUAUAACGAAUUUAAUUAAAUGUUUUAUCAUUAUAUAUAAAGAAUUUAUGGCAAGAUAAAGUUAUAUACAACCUCAACUCAUAUGGGACUACCCCCUGAAUUUAAGCAUAUUAAUUAGGGGAGGAAAAGAAACUAACAAGGAUUUUCUUAGUAGCGGCGAGCGAAAAGAAAACAGUUCAGCACUAAGUCACUUUGUCUAUAUGGCAAAUGUGAGAUGCAGUGUAUGGAGCGUCAAUAUUCUAGUAUGAGAAAUUAACGAUUUAAGUCCUUCUUAAAUGAGGCCAUUUACCCAUAGAGGGUGCCAGGCCCGUAUAACGUUAAUGAUUACUAGAUGAUGUUUCCAAAGAGUCGUGUUGCUUGAUAGUGCAGCACUAAGUGGGUGGUAAACUCCAUCUAAAACUAAAUAUAACCAUGAGACCGAUAGUAAACAAGUACCGUGAGGGAAAGUUGAAAAGAACUCUGAAUAGAGAGUUAAACAGUACGUGAAACUGCUUAGAGGUUAAGCCCGAUGAACCUGAAUAUCCGUUAUGGAAAAUUCAUCAUUAAAAUUGUAAUAUUUAAAUAAUAUUAUGAGAAUAGUGUGCAUUUUUUCCAUAUAAGGACAUUGUAAUCUAUUAGCAUAUACCAAAUUUAUCAUAAAAUAUAACUUAUAGUUUAUUCCAAUUAAAUUGCUUGCAUUUUAACACAGAAUAAAUGUUAUUAAUUUGAUAAAGUGCUGAUAGAUUUAUAUGAUUACAGUGCGUUAAUUUUUCGGAAUUAUAUAAUGGCAUAAUUAUCAUUGAUUUUUGUGUUUAUUAUAUGCACUUGUAUGAUUAACAAUGCGAAAGAUUCAGGAUACCUUCGGGACCCGUCUUGAAACACGGACCAAGGAGUCUAACAUAUGUGCAAGUUAUUGGGAUAUAAACCUAAUAGCGUAAUUAACUUGACUAAUAAUGGGAUUAGUUUUUUAGCUAUUUAUAGCUAAUUAACACAAUCCCGGGGCGUUCUAUAUAGUUAUGUAUAAUGUAUAUUUAUAUUAUUUAUGCCUCUAACUGGAACGUACCUUGAGCAUAUAUGCUGUGACCCGAAAGAUGGUGAACUAUACUUGAUCAGGUUGAAGUCAGGGGAAACCCUGAUGGAAGACCGAAACAGUUCUGACGUGCAAAUCGAUUGUCAGAAUUGAGUAUAGGGGCGAAAGACCAAUCGAACCAUCUAGUAGCUGGUUCCUUCCGAAGUUUCCCUCAGGAUAGCUGGUGCAUUUUAAUAUUAUAUAAAAUAAUCUUAUCUGGUAAAGCGAAUGAUUAGAGGCCUUAGGGUCGAAACGAUCUUAACCUAUUCUCAAACUUUAAAUGGGUAAGAACCUUAACUUUCUUGAUAUGAAGUUCAAGGUUAUGAUAUAAUGUGCCCAGUGGGCCACUUUUGGUAAGCAGAACUGGCGCUGUGGGAUGAACCAAACGUAAUGUUACGGUGCCCAAAUUAACAACUCAUGCAGAUACCAUGAAAGGCGUUGGUUGCUUAAAACAGCAGGACGGUGAUCAUGGAAGUCGAAAUCCGCUAAGGAGUGUGUAACAACUCACCUGCCGAAGCAACUAGCCCUUAAAAUGGAUGGCGCUUAAGUUGUAUACCUAUACAUUACCGCUAAAGUAGAUGAUUUAUAUUACUUGUGAUAUAAAUUUUGAAACUUUAGUGAGUAGGAAGGUACAAUGGUAUGCGUAGAAGUGUUUGGCGUAAGCCUGCAUGGAGCUGCCAUUGGUACAGAUCUUGGUGGUAGUAGCAAAUAAUCGAAUGAGACCUUGGAGGACUGAAGUGGAGAAGGGUUUCGUGUGAACAGUGGUUGAUCACGAGUUAGUCGGUCCUAAGUUCAAGGCGAAAGCCGAAAAUUUUCAAGUAAAACAAAAAUGCCUAACUAUAUAAACAAAGCGAAUUAUAAUACACUUGAAUAAUUUUGAACGAAAGGGAAUACGGUUCCAAUUCCGUAACCUGUUGAGUAUCCGUUUGUUAUUAAAUAUGGGCCUCGUGCUCAUCCUGGCAACAGGAACGACCAUAAAGAAGCCGUCGAGAGAUAUCGGAAGAGUUUUCUUUUCUGUUUUAUAGCCGUACUACCAUGGAAGUCUUUCGCAGAGAGAUAUGGUAGAUGGGCUAGAAGAGCAUGACAUAUACUGUUGUGUCGAUAUUUUCUCCUCGGACCUUGAAAAUUUAUGGUGGGGACACGCAAACUUCUCAACAGGCCGUACCAAUAUCCGCAGCUGGUCUCCAAGGUGAAGAGUCUCUAGUCGAUAGAAUAAUGUAGGUAAGGGAAGUCGGCAAAUUAGAUCCGUAACUUCGGGAUAAGGAUUGGCUCUGAAGAUUGAGAUAGUCGGGCUUGAUUGGGAAACAAUAACAUGGUUUAUGUGCUCGUUCUGGGUAAAUAGAGUUUCUAGCAUUUAUGUUAGUUACUUGUUCCCCGGAUAGUUUAGUUACGUAGCCAAUUGUGGAACUUUCUUGCUAAAAUUUUUAAGAAUACUAUUUGGGUUAAACCAAUUAGUUCUUAUUAAUUAUAACGAUUAUCAAUUAACAAUCAAUUCAGAACUGGCACGGACUUGGGGAAUCCGACUGUCUAAUUAAAACAAAGCAUUGUGAUGGCCCUAGCGGGUGUUGACACAAUGUGAUUUCUGCCCCAGUGCUCUGAAUGUCAAAGUGAAGAAAUUCAAGUAAGCGCGGGGUCAACGGGCGGGGAGUAACUAUGACUCUCUCUCUUGCCAAGCCAAGAAAUAAUGGUUCCCUACUGGAGAGAAGUAAUGACUCAGCCUAGCCCAAGCUCUUGCAGUGGAGAAGUGAUACAAAUGGAUCACUCGCUUGAGAGGGUAUGGUCUGCUAUUACAGAGCAGGACCUUCGGGCGUCAAGAGUCUCAUUAUCCUCGUCUCCGGGGCCUGACGGGAUAACUCCAAAAUCUGCCAGGGAGGUGCCGUCAGGUAUUAUGCUGCGCAUAAUGAACCUAAUUCUAUGGUGCGGUAAUCUACCACACUCUAUACGACUGGCCAGAACCGUCUUCAUCCCGAAGACGGUGACGGCGAAGCGACCGCAAGACUUUCGUCCAAUAUCAGUGCCUUCAGUCCUGGUAAGACAGCUAAAUGCAAUAUUGGCAACCCGGUUGAACUCAUCAAUCAAUUGGGACCCGCGCCAGCGGGGCUUCUUACCAACCGACGGAUGCGCCGAUAAUGCGACGAUAGUCGACUUAGUCUUGAGGCAUAGCCAUAAGCACUUUAGAUCUUGCUACAUCGCAAAUUUAGAUGUAAGCAAGGCAUUUGAUUCUCUAUCACAUGCAUCUAUAUACGACACCUUACGUGCUUAUGGUGCGCCAAAGGGCUUCGUUGACUACGUACAGAACACGUACGAGGGCGGUGGUACCAGUCUCAAUGGGGACGGUUGGAGUUCAGAGGAAUUCGUCCCUGCUAGAGGAGUGAAGCAGGGUGACCCUUUGUCUCCUAUUCUAUUUAAC